CGAAACUGCAGAGGCUGGAGCUCCUGCUUGAACCAUGCAAGUAAGUUCAAAUAAACACCUUCCCAUUUUAAUUAUAUAAACUACUGUUACAUGUGUAAAAUCAAAAUUAAUGAACAUAACAAGGAACUUUUAAGGACAAUUAAAUUGGGAAUCAGUUACACUUUGAUUUAAAUGAAUCCAGCUAGGUUUAUUUAGCAAACCUCUCCACCUCUGCAGGUAUGUGACAGAGCUGCUGGGUGGUGAGGCCUACGUCUCUUGCUCUGUAGUGCUGCCUGCUUUUCGCCAUCUGUACCGUGUCAUGGACAUUACUGAUGAUGAUCCUGCCUACGUGGUGAAGUUCAAGAAUGCCUUCCAGAAGGAUCUGGCAGCACGACGAGCUAAUGGCAACGAGAUAUGGUUCGAGGUGGCCACAGCAUUGGAUCCACGGUUUAAGGAUUUGAAAUGUCUUCCAAGAGAAAAGAGGGAACAGGUGUGGACCAUUCUGGAGAAUAUGCUCCAGGCAGCAGAGCCCAGAAGAGCAGAUAGUCUCCAGCCCUCCACAGAGGAUGAUGGACCAGCUCAGAAGAAGAGGAGGAGCGAACUCUGCAGCGCUACAGAGCAGAACCCAGCAUCAGUAUUGAUGACUGUCCCCUGCAGUGGUGGUAUGCUCACUCAGGAGUCUAUGAAAAGCUGUCAGUCCUAGCACAAAAGUACCUGGCCUCCCCAGCUACCUCUGUACCCUGUGAGAGACUCUUUAGCCUUGCAGGCCACAUAGUGCAAAAGAAAAGGGCAGCCUUGCUUCCAGAAAAUGUUACCAGGCUGGUGUGUCUUAGCGACUGGCUGAGGAAGAAGAAAUGAGACACAUGUGGUCAGCAUAGCUGCUGUGUCAUUUGUAGCCUACUAGAAUAGAUUGCUUGAUGUUCAGCACUUUUUUUUUGUGAUGGAAGAAUACUUUGAUGUGCUAACUUGCAGCACUGCAAUGUCAGUUUUAUUUUUCAUUAUCUGAAGCAGAGGAAUUUCAGUGCUGUAUUGCUCAGAAAAGAGCAACUCUGAUGUGCUAACUUGCAGCACUUAAUUUAUUUGAUUUU
ensembl:lncRNA